rnacentral:rRNA from 1 species
ACGCACGCUGGCGGCGUGCUUCACACCUGCCAGUCGAAGGGAAAGGCCCCUUUGGGGGUCCUCGAGUGGCGAACGGGUGAGUAACACGUGAGUAACCUGCCCUUUACUUCGGGAUAACUUCAGGAAACGGGGGCUAAUACCGGAUAGGAAUCCUUGCUGCAUGGGGGGGGUUGGAAAGCUUCGGCGGUUUUGGAUGGACUCGCGGCUUAUCAGCUUGUUGGUGGGGUAGUGGCUUACCAAGGCUUUGACGGGUAGCCGGCCUGAGAGGGCGACCGGCCACAUUGGGACUGAGAUACGGCCCAGACUCCUACGGGAGGCAGCAGUGGGGAAUAUUGCACAAUGGGCGGAAGCCGGAUGCAGCAACGCCGCGUGCGGGAUGACGGCCUUCGGGUUGUAAACCGCUUUCAGCAGGGGCGAAGCUUGUGGUGACGGUACCUGCAGAAGAAGCACCGGCUAACUACGUG